AUCCUUCAAGCCUCAAGCUCUGAGUCUGCUGCCUUGGUGUGCUUCAGUGUAACAUCUCACACUUGUUUCAUUGAAUAGCACAAAUGCAAGAGUUCCUCAUUCCCUCAGACUCUCCCUCUUCCAAUACACUGAAAAGAUUUGAAAGAUUUGAGGGGAAAGAUCAAGAAUUAGGUCCAAUUUCCAUAUUCAGAGCUUAUUUAUAAAUAUAUACAUUGGAAGACCAAAUGUAAAUAACCUAGCUAGGAA